rnacentral:rRNA from 1 species
AUUGAACGCUGGCGGCAUGCUUUACACAUGCAAGUCGAAUGGUAACAGGCCGCAAGGUGCUGACGAGUGGCGAACGGGUGAGUAAUGCAUCGGAACGUGCCCAGUCGUGGGGGAUAACGCAGCGAAAGCUGCGCUAAUACCGCAUACGAUCUGUGGAUGAAAGCCGGGGACCGAAAGGCCUCGCGCGAUUGGAGCGGCCGAUGUCAGAUUAGGUAGUUGGUGGGGUAAAGGCCCACCAAGCCAACGAUCUGUAGCUGGUCUGAGAGGACGACCAGCCACACUGGGACUGAGACACGGCCCAGACUCCUACGGGAGGCAGCAGUGGGGAAUUUUGGACAAUGGGCGCAAGCCUGAUCCAGCAAUGCCGCGUGCAGGAAGAAGGCCUUCGGGUUGUAAACUGCUUUUGUACGGAACGAAACGGCUCUGGUUAAUACCUGGGGCUAAUGACGGUACCGUAAGAAUAAGCACCGGCUAACUACGUGCCAGCCGCCGCCGUAAAAC